GGGGUGUAGCUCAGUUGGGAGAGCGCCUGCCUUGCAAGCAGGAGGUCAGGAGUUCGACUCUCCUCAUCUCC
rnacentral:tRNA from 1 species